CUUAUUGUGACUAUGUCUAGUUGUUGGCGAAAGGGGGGAAACUCCCUUUCACGCAACUGAUUUGUGACUGGAGACCGUGUGUUUGAGUCGUGGAAUAAGUCUCUUAGAAUUACAAGAUGAGAUUACCUACAAUAGAUUCAAAAUGGGUGUUAAUGGAUUCAAACAGCAACCAGACUGAUGAAAAACCACAAGUCAAGCCAGCACAAAUAGUCACAUUCUGUCAAAGAAACAAGUCCAGGGAUGGGAGUUUUGUGUCUAAAUUAAGAAAUCACUUUCAUGAAUUUAUCCAUGCAUCCGUUGAUGAACACAGGAGAUGCUUGAGAAACACAAUUCAAAAUGUAGGGGAACUUUGCCUGACUCAAUGUUUUUGAUGUCUUCUUGAAGUAUCUCAUAAUGCUUCUUGAUUUCCACUUCAGUUGUCCCUCCAACAAACAUGGCUAUAUUGUACCAACGGUCAGAAGUUUCCUUGUCAUAUAUUGCCAAUGCAUUUUCAAAUAGUUUGUUCUUCUUGGUUGUCCAUUGUAGACUUGAGUUAGGAGAAGAAAGCAUGUUGGAUGAUGUCUUGGAUGUCAUUGCAAAAAAACAAAAAAUCACAAGAGGGUUUUAGAUGGGAAGAAACAGGUGUUAGGUUUUUAUAUUGAUCUAAUUCAUCUUUAAUAAAAGACAUGUUUGUGAGGAGGGUCACCCUUUAUAAACUAUUUUAAGCCUUAUCUCUUUUUAAUGUGGAACUUGGAUUUUUUUUUUUUCUUUUCAAUAUAACAUCACUGUUCAGUACCAUUGGAUUUGGUGCGAUGAUAAUUUUGUCGGUGGCUCGAGCAGACAAACUCCAAAAUUAUAUUACAUUUUUAUAUUGGCUCUGACUCAUUCUUAUAAAAUCGACUUAUAGGGUGAUGAGUGUCACUACUUAUCAACUAUUUUUAGAUAUUAUCUCUUUCAACUGGAUUUUGAAUUUUUCUCGAUAAGAGGUACCAAUCCUUUGGCAACUAGUCACUAAAUUAGAAAGAAUCAUCGACUAUAAUAAGGAAGUGAAUGAGUAAGAAAGCAAUAUGUGGAAGGCUAUUGGGAAGCACGGGGAACUAGGAAGCUAAUAAGGUGAAUAUUUUAAGUAUACUCGAUUCAAGAGAUGACACUAUGAAACUAGUAAUUGGUGUGGCAUUUAAACUAUUUGUGGCAAGUUUCCAAGAUGUCCAACAAAAGUACAUGUGAUAAUACUAUCCUUAUAUACUAUAUGAUGAUUGUGCAGCUGGUACAUUAACAAGAGUGAUUGGUUCUAAAGAAAUACCCUGUUGCUUCAUUUUUCA